GGAUGAACGCUAGCGGCAGGCUUAACACAUGCAAGUCGAGGGGCAGCACGGGUAGCAAUACCUGGUGGCGACCGGCGCAAGGGUGCGUAACGCGUGAGCAACAUGCCCUAUACAGGGGGAUAAUCCAGGGAAACUUGGUCUAAUAUCCCAUAGUAUUUAGAGGAGGCAUCUUCUAUAAAUUAAAGCUUCGGUGGUAUAGGAUUGGCUCGCGUGACAUUAGCUAGAUGGUGAGGUAACGGCUCACCAUGGCAAUGAUGUCUAGGGGUUCUGGGAGGAAGGCCCCCCACACUGGGACUGAGACACGGCCCAGACUCCUACGGGAGGCAGCAGUGAGGAAUAUUGGACAAUGGAUGGAAAUCUGAUCCAGCCAUGCCGCGUGCAGGAAGACAGCCCUAUGGGUUGUAAACUGCUUUUAUAUGGGAGCAAUAAGGUCUACGUGUAGACUGAUGAGAGUACCAUAUGAAUAAGCAUCGGCUAACUCCGUGCCAGCAGCCGCGGUAAUACGUAGGGGGCGAGCGUUGUCCGGAAUGAUUGGGCGUAAAGGGCGCGUAGGCGGCGAUGCAAGUCGGUAGUGGAAGUCCUGUUUUCAAGGCAGGAAUUGCUAUUGAAACUGCAUGGCUUGAGUGCAGGAGAGGUUAUCGGAAUUCCCGGUGUAGCGGUGAAAUGCGUAGAGAUCGGGAGGAACACCAGUGGCGAAGGCGGGUAACUGGACUGCAACUGACGCUGAGGCGCGAAAGUGUGGGGAGCAAACAGGAUUAGAUACCCUGGUAGUCCACACUGUAAACGAUGAAUGCUAAGUGCAGGGGGUAUCGACCCCUUCUGUGCCGCAGUAAACACAUUAAGCAUUCCGCCUGGGGAGUACGGUCGCAAGAUUAAAACUCAAAGGAAUUGACGGGGGCCCGCACAAGCAGCGGAGCAUGUGGUUUAAUUCGAAGCAACGCGAAGAACCUUACCAGGUCUUGACAUCCAGGUAAAGCUGUAGAGAUAUAGUGUGCCUUCGGGCAAUCUGAGACAGGUGGUGCAUGGUUGUCGUCAGCUCGUGUCGUGAGAUGUUGGGUUAAGUCCCGCAACGAGCGCAACCCUUGCCGAUAGUUACUAACGAGUAGUGUCGAGGACUCUAUUGGGACCGCCGGGGACAACUCGGAGGAAGGUGGGGACGACGUCAAAUCAUCAUGCCCCUUAUGACCUGGGCUACACACGUGCUACAAUGGCCGAGACAGAGAGGAGCGAAGGCGCAAGCUGGAGCGGAUCUCAAAAAAGCGGUCGAAGUUCGGAUUGUGGGCUGCAACCCGCCCACAUGAAGCAGGAGUUGCUAGUAAUCGCGAAUCAGCAUGUCGCGGUGAAUACGUUCCCGGGCCU
rnacentral:rRNA from 1 species